rnacentral:rRNA from 1 species
GAUGAACGCUGGCGGCGUGCCUAAUACAUGCAAGUCGAGCGAACGGAUUAAGAGCUUGCUCUUAUGAAGUUAGCGGCGGACGGGUGAGUAACACGUGGGUAACCUGCCCAUAAGACUGGGAUAACUCCGGGAAACCGGGGCUAAUACCGGAUAACAUUUUGAACCGCAUGGUUCGAAAUUGAAAGACGGCUUCGGCUGUCACUUAUGGAUGGACCCGCGUCGCAUUAGCUAGUUGGUGAGGUAACGGCUCACCAAGGCAACGAUGCGUAGCCGCCCUGAGAGGGUGAUCGGCAACACUGGGACUGAGACACGGCCCAGACUCCUACGGGAGGCAGCAGGAGGGAAUCUUCCGCAAUGGACGAAAGUCUGACGGAGCAACGCCGCGUGAGUGAUGAAGGCUUUCGGGUCGUAAAACUCUGUUGUUAGGGAAGAACAAGUGCUAGUUGAAUAAGCUGGCACCUUGACGGUACCUAACCAGAAAGCCACGGCUAACUACGUGCCAGCCGCCGCGGUAA